UACGAAGGGGGCUAGCGUUGUUCGGAAUCACUGGGCGUAAAGGGCGCGUAGGCGGGUUGCUAAGUCCGCUGUGAAAGCCCGAGGCUCAACCUCGGAGGGUCGGUGGAUACUGGCAGUCUUGAAGGUGGUAGGGGGAGAUGGAAUUACCGGUGUAGCGGUGGAAUGCGCAGAUAUCAGGAGGAACACCGAUGGCGAAGGCAGUUCUCUGGGCCGUAACUGACGCUGAGGAGCGAAAGCGUGGGGAGCAAACAGG
rnacentral:rRNA from 1 species